rnacentral:tRNA from 1 species
GUGGGCGUAGCUCAGUUGGUAGAGCAUUUGGUUGUGGUCCAAAGGGUCGCGGGUUCGAGUCCCGUCGCUCACC